GUACAUUAUAAGGUGUAAAUUGUACUCAAGUAUGAGUGAAAUUACACACUUGAAAAAAAAUAAUCAUGAAAGUGCAAUCCAAUCAAUACAAGAAAU